rnacentral:rRNA from 1 species
CAGCAGCCGCGGGAAUACGGAGGAUCCAAGCGUUAUCCGGAAUCAUUGGGUUUAAAGGGUCCGUAGGCGGUUUAGUAAGUCAGUGGUGAAAGCCCAUCGCUCAACGGUGGAACGGCCAUUGAUACUGCUGAACUUGAAUUAUUAGGAAGUAACUAGAAUAUGUAGUGUAGCGGUGAAAUGCUUAGAGAUUACAUGGAAUACCAAUUGCGAAGGCAGGUUACUACUAAUUGAUUGACGCUGAUAGACGAAAGCUAGGGGAGCAAAUGGGAUUAGAUACCCCUGUAGUCCCUGUCUCUUAUAC